rnacentral:rRNA from 1 species
GACGAACGCUGGCGGCGUGCUUAACACAUGCAAGUCGAACGGAAAGGCCCUGCUUUUGUGGGGUGCUCGAGUGGCGAACGGGUGAGUAACACGUGAGUAACCUGCCCUUGACUUUGGGAUAACUUCAGGAAACUGGGGCUAAUACCGGAUAGGAGCUCCUGCUGCAUGGUGGGGGUUGGAAAGUUUCGGCGGUUGGGGAUGGACUCGCGGCUUAUCAGCUUGUUGGUGGGGUAGUGGCUUACCAAGGCUUUGACGGGUAGCCGGCCUGAGAGGGUGACCGGCCACAUUGGGACUGAGAUACGGCCCAGACUCCUACGGGAGGCAGCAGUGGGGAAUAUUGCACAAUGGGCGGAAGCCUGAUGCAGCAACGCCGCGUGCGGGAUGACGGCCUUCGGGUUGUAAACCGCUUUCGCCUGUGACGAAGCGUGAGUGACGGUAAUGGGUAAAGAAGCACCGGCUAACUACGUGCCAGCAGCCGCGGUGAUACGUAGGGUGCGGGCGUUGUCCGGAUUUAUUGGGCGUAAAGGGCUCGUAGGUGGUUGAUCGCGUCGGAAGUGUAAUCUUGGGGCUUAACCCUGAGCGUGCUUUCGAUACGGGUUGACUUGAGGAAGGUAGGGGAGAAUGGAAUUCCUGGUGGAGCGGUGGAAUGCGCAGAUAUCAGGAGGAACACCAGUAGCGAAGGCGGUUCUCUGGGCCUCUCCUGACGCUGAGGAGCGAAAGCGUGGGGAGCGAACAGGCUUAGAUACCCUGGUAGUCCACGCUGUAAACGGUGGGUACUAGGUGUGGGGUCCAUUCCACGGGUUCCGUGCCGUAGCUAACGCUUUAAGUACCCCGCCUGGGGAGUACGGCCGCAAGGCUAAAACUCAAAGGAAUUGACGGGGCCCCGCACAAGCGGCGGAGCAUGCGGAUUAAUUCGAUGCAACGCGUAGAACCUUACCUGGGUUUGACAUGGAUCGGGAGUGCUCAGAGAUGGGUGUGCCUCUUUUGGGGUCGGUUCACAGGUGGUGCAUGGCUGUCGUCAGCUCGUGUCGUGAGAUGUUGGGUUAAGUCCCGCAACGAGCGCAACCCUUGUUCACUGUUGCCAGCACGUUAUGGUGGGGACUCAGUGGAGACCGCCGGGGUCAACUCGGAGGAAGGUGGGGAUGACGUCAAGUCAUCAUGCUCCUUAUGUCCAGGGCUUCACGCAUGCUACAAUGGCUGGUACAGAGAGUGGCGAGCCUGUGAGGGUGAGCGAAUCUCGGAAAGCCGGUCUCAGUUCGGAUUGGGGUCUGCAACUCGACCUCAUGAAGUCGGAGUCGCUAGUAAUCGCAGAUCAGCAACGCUGCGGUGAAUACGUUCCCGGG